ACAAGCCGGAGGAAGUGGGGAUGACGUCAAGUCCUCAUGGCCCUUAUAGUGGGGCUACACACGUCAUACAAUGGCUGGUACAAAGGGUUGCCAACCCGCAGGGGAGCCAAUCCCAUAAAGCCAGUCGUAGUCCGGAUCGUAGUCUGCAACUCGACUACGUGAAGUCGGAAUCGCUAGUAAUCGUGGAUCAGAAUGUCACGGUGAAUACGUUCCCGGGUCUU
rnacentral:rRNA from 1 species